GAGGGGCUCGCGGCCUAUCAGCUAGUUGGUGAGGUAACGGCUCACCAAGGCUAUGACGGGUAGCUGGUCUGAGAGGACGACCAGCCACACGGGGACUGAGACACGGCCCCGACUCCUACGGGAGGCAGCAGUGGGGAAUUUUCCGCAAUGGGCGAAAGCCUGACGGAGUGACGCCGCGUGGGGGACGAAGGCCUUCGGGUCGUAAACCCCUGUCAGAGGGAAAGAAGGGUGUCGGCGCGAUAACCGCCGGCAUCUGACGGUACCUUCAGAGGAAGCCCCGGCCAACUCUGUGCCAGCAGCCGCGGUAAGACAGAGGGGGCAAGCGUUGCUCGGAAUUACUGGGCGUAAAGGGCGCGUAGGCGGGAUGGCAAGUCGGUCGUGAAAUCCUUCGGCUCAACCGAAGAACGUCGGCCGAUACUGCCGUUCUUGAGGGAUGCAGAGGAGAUUGGAAUUCCCGGUGUAGCGGUGAAAUGUGUAGAGAUCGGGAGG
rnacentral:rRNA from 1 species